GGAGCAGCGUGUCAGGAUGAAGCCAGGGAGGCAGUGCCAGAACCACACAUUGAGGCUGAUGGUGGGAGUACACCAGGGAUCAUUUUGUGCUGAUAUUCACGUCCUGGGCCCCAUCCUCCUGAGAAACAUGUCUUCAGCAAGCAAAGAGCUGUGACGUUCAAUCCAUAAACACAGGUUCCCGCAGCAGAACAGCCUCUCCAGCCCCCAGGCUCUUGCAGCACCCGGAGCCUGGCACCUUCUGCUGGCCCCACACCGCUGGCAGUUUUGUAGCAGAGCACCUCCAGUGACACCUCCCCAUGUGCAGGUUCAAGAUCUGCUUCCUUCAAGAUCAGCUUGAAGAUCUGAUUCCUCUCCAGGAGCUUUCCCCAGCAUACUAGGGGGUUGAUUCCUGGCAAGUUCUGCUGCAUCUCAGCAUCUCAGCAACCCUGCCAUCCUGUGCACCAGGCAGCCCUAGGGCCAGCAGCUGCUCCCUGUAUCUACUGUUUCCACAUUCUUUAGAGUGCCUUUGCUUCCCUCCAGCCAACCCCUUGUUACUCCAAUCCACUAUUGCAGUUAAUAAUUUGUUAUAUUAAACCUUCCCUGUUCAACUUGC